GGAGUGGUAGUUCAGUUGGUUAGAAUACCGGCCUGUCACGCCGGGGGUCGCGGGUUCGAGUCCCGUCCACUCC
rnacentral:tRNA from 8 species